rnacentral:rRNA from 1 species
UUGGAGGGCAAGUCUGGUGCCAGCAGCCGCGGUAACUCCAGCUCCAAUAGCGUAUAUUAAAGUUGUUGCAGUUAAAAAGCUCGUAGUUGAAUUUCGGGGUCAGUAGGUUGGUCGUGCCACUGGUAUGUACUGGUCUCACUGAUUCCUCCUUCCUGAUGAGCCGUAAUGCCAUUAAUUUGGUGUUGCGAGGAAUCUGGACUGUUACUUUGAAAAAAUUAGAGUGUCUAAAGCAAGCUAACGCUUGAAUACAUUAGCAUGGAAUAAUGAAAUAGGACGUUCGAUCCUAUUUUGUUGGUUUCUAGGAUUGACGUAAUGAUUAAUAGGGAUAGUUGGGGGCAUUAGUAUUCAAUUGUCAGAGGUGAAAUUCUUGGAUUUAUUGAAGACUAACUACUGCGAAAGCAUUUGCCAAGGAUGUUUUCAUUAAUCAAGAACGAAAGUUAGGGGAUCGAAGACGAUCAGAUACCGUCGUAGUCUUAACCAUAAACUAUGCCGACUAGGGAUCGGAUGAUGUUAAUUUUUUAAUGACUCAUUCGGCGCCUUACGGGAAACCAAAGUGUUUGGGUUC